rnacentral:rRNA from 1 species
GACCCCGUGAACCUUUACUAUAGCUUGACACUGAACAUUGAGCCUUGAUGUGUAGGAUAGGUGGGAGGCUUUGAAGUGUGGACGCCAGUCUGCAUGGAGCCGACCUUGAAAUACCACCCUUUAAUGUUUGAUGUUCUAACGUGGACCCGUGAUCCGGGUUGCGGACAGUGUCUGGUGGGUAGUUUGACUGGGGCGGUCUCCUCCUAAAGAGUAACGGAGGAGCACGAAGGUUGGCUAAUCCUGGUCGGACAUCAGGAGGUUAGUGCAAUGGCAUAAGCCAGCUUGACUGCGAGCGUGACGGCGCGAGCAGGUGCGAAAGCAGGUCAUAGUGAUCCGGUGGUUCUGAAUGGAAG